UACGUAGGGUGCAAGCGUUAAUCGGAAUUACUGGGCGUAAAGCGUGCGCAGGCGGUUAUGCAAGACAGAUGUGAAAUCCCCGGGCUUAACCUGGGAACCGCAUUUGUGACUGCAUAGCUGGAGUACGGCAGAGGGGGAUGGAAUUCCGCGUGUAGCAGUGAAAUGCGUAGAUAUGCGGAGGAACACCGAUGGCGAAGGCAGUCCCCUGGGCCAAUACUGACGCUCAUGCACGAAAGCGUGGGGAGCAAACAGG
rnacentral:rRNA from 1 species